CCUACGGGAGGCUGCAGUGGGGAAUAUUGGGCAAUGGGCGAAAGCCUGAUCCAGCCAUGCCGCGUGUGUGAAGAAGGCCUUCGGGUUGUAAAGCACUUUCAGUGGGGAAGAAAGCCUUGGGGCUAAUACCCUCGAGGAAGGACAUCACCCACAGAAGAAGCACCGGCUAACUCCGUGCCAGCAGCCGCGGUAAUACGGAGGGUGCGAGCGUUAAUCGGAAUUACUGGGCGUAAAGCGCGCGUAGGCGGUCUGAUAAGCCGGUUGUGAAAGCCCCGGGCUCAACCUGGGAACGGCAUCCGGAACUGUCAGGCUAGAGUGCAGGAGAGGAAGGUAGAAUUCCCGGUGUAGCGGUGAAAUGCGUAGAGAUCGGGAGGAAUACCAGUGGCGAAGGCGGCCUUCUGGACUGACACUGACGCUGAGGUGCGAAAGCGUGGGUAGCAAACAGGAUUAGAUACCCCUGUAGUC
rnacentral:rRNA from 1 species